GAAGUCUGAAAUUGACAAGAGAAAUUAGUUUUCACAAAAUACAAGUUCCCACCCAUUUACAUGUAUUCAGGUCACUUCUCACAUUUUGUAACAGGUUACCCAGGGAGCUGGUGGAGCUACCGUCCCUGGGGGUGUUCAAGGAAAGGCUGGAUGUAGUGCUUAGGGACAUGGUUGAGUGGGUGACAUUGGUGGUAGGGAGAUGGUUGGACCGGAUGGUCUUGGAGGUCUUUUCCAACGUUAAUGAGUCGGAUUCCCAUCUUGUGUUCUACAUAGUAACAUCAUGUCAAAUUCACUGUUCAGUUAUGGACUCUAGAAAUUGAGAAAAAAUUCUGCACCCACCUAUGAUAUCCUCAUACCAGCCAGUCUUGUUAAAUAGCUUACUAACAUUUUCACCCUGUAUGGACAACAUUCAUAGUGAAAACCUCACAUGGAAGAAAUCUGCUUCACUGCCAAUGCGACAUGACUUGGCAGCUACCCUACUCAGUGUGGUAUUUGUUUUGUGUGUUCAUACAGUCGUAUUUGUUCUCCAGCAUUUCAGUCAAGCUAUAAGAGUUCUGGGUUGAAUGUUAACAUGUAGCAUUAAUAUGAAUUUUAACUGAAACAUCCACUAAUCAGCCUAACAAGAUAUAAUGACCCAGUUCUUGAAGCUGCCCAGCAGAAGAAAAGAAAGCCUCUCCACAUGUAAAAAGCAAAGUACCGCUUCAGCUUUCCUACUGAUCAAGCCUUGCUACUGUGACUACAAUCAAAUAAAUUCUACCCACACUAUGUGCGUAAGAUCAUGUGUGUUCCUAUAAGUUUUCAGAGACCUGUCUUUUCAAACUAAAAGUUUUGGUUAUAGAAACUGAUCAUUCACAUCUUCUCUGAUACAAGAAGUUCCCAGGAUUAAUAAUUUAGUUCUACCAAUUUAGCUCUACCUCUCGACAAUGCCUUAAAAACCUACACAAUGCAGCAGAAUAGCACAGAAAAAUAAUACAAAAAAAAAAAAAAGAACACAAAAAGAGGCAUUAGGAAAAAAAAAAAAAAGAUGAAACAAAUUUUCUGUUUUCCAACUGUAAACAAAAAAAAAUAAUUUAAAAGUAAUUCUGAUCAAUAUUUAGUUUUCAUAGUGUACGAUUAUUUUCUAGAUCAGUAAGAUUUGGUGCUCUACCCUGAUUUUCAGUGCAGAUGCAAAGUUAAAGAGGUUUGGUGGUUUGUUUUCUUGACUUGCACUGAGUUCUUGGAACUAGUUGUAUAU